GGGCCAGACUCCUACGGGAGGCAGCAGUGGGGAAUAUUGCACAAUGGGGGAAACCCUGAUGCAGCAACGCCGCGUGAAGGAAGACGGUUUUCGGAUUGUAAACUUCUGUUCUUAGUGAAGAAUAAUGACGGUAGCUAAGGAGCAAGCCACGGCUAACUACGUGCCAGCAGCCGCGGUAAUACGUAGGUGGCAAGCGUUAUCCGGAUUUACUGGGUGUAAAGGGCGUGUAGGCGGGAGAGCAAGUCAGACGUGAAAUUCCAGGGCUCAACCCUGGAACUGCGUUUGAAACUGUUCUUCUUGAGUGAUGGAGAGGCAGGCGGAAUUCCGUGUGUAGCGGUGAAAUGCGUAGAUAUACGGAGGAACACCAGUGGCGAAGGCGGCCUGCUGGACAUUAACUGACGCUGAGGCGCGAAAGCGUGGGGAGCAAACAGGAUUAGAUACCCGUGUA
rnacentral:rRNA from 1 species